rnacentral:rRNA from 1 species
CGCCAGACUCCUACGGGAGGCAGCAGUGGGGAAUAUUGCACAAUGGGGGAAACCCUGAUGCAGCGACGCCGCGUGAGCGAUGAAGUAUUUCGGUAUGUAAAGCUCUAUCAGCAGGGAAGAAAAUGACGGUACCUGACUAAGAAGCCCCGGCUAACUACGUGCCAGCAGCCGCGGUAAUACGUAGGGGGCGAGCGUUAUCCGGAUUCACUGGGCGUAAGGGGAGCGCAGGCGGCACGGCAAGUCCGGUGUGAAAGCCCGGGGCCCAACCCCGGGACUGCACUGGAAACUGCCGGGCUGGAGUGUCGGAGGGGCAGGCGGAAUUCCUAGUGUAGCGGUGAAAUGCGUAGAUAUUAGGAGGAACACCGGUGGCGAAGGCGGCCUGCUGGACGACGACUGACGCUGAGGCUCGAAAGCGUGGGGAGCAAACAGGAUUAGAUACCCGAGUA